rnacentral:rRNA from 1 species
GACGAACCGUGCGAACGUUGUUCGGAAUCACUGGGCUUAAAGGGCGCGUAGGCGGGCGGCCAAGUCAGGGGUGAAAUCUUUCGGCUCAACCGGAAAAGUGCCUCUGAUACUGGUGGCCUCGAGGGAGGUAGGGGUCUGCGGAACUUCCGGUGGAGCGGUGAAAUGCGUAGAUAUCGGAAGGAACGCCGGUGGCGAAAGCGGCGGGCUGGACCUCUUCUGACGCUGAGGCGCGAAAGCCAGGGGAGCAAAGCGGG